UUUCAAACCAUCGUUACACGCUAUCUGAUGUGGUCUAUGACCAUGCUUACGAUUUGGUUAAUCUCGCAAACUCUCCACAUGGUCCAUUGGCUCGUAUUCUAGCGAAGGGAAAAGAAACGUCUUACUUAAUCGAUUUAAGGAUGUUCUUCUUCUCGAGAAAAAAAGGGACGAUGACCGGAGUGUUUUCAACCGUAGAUGAAGACAAAUCAAUUGAACGAUAAGGAAGAGUUACUAUCGAGACGAUUGGAAUCAAGGAAGAUGAUAAACGAAGAUAUAAGGAUGAGGAUAGUGCGAAAUGAGUUAGUAUAAAUAUCUUUUACGAAAUCUUUUCUUCAACA